rnacentral:rRNA from 1 species
UNGAGUGCAGAAGGGGAGAGUGGANUUCCAUGUGUAGCGGUGAAAUGCGUAGAUAUAUGGAGGAACACCAGUGGCGAAAGCGGCUCUCUGGUCUGUCACUGACGCUGAGGCUCGAAAGCGUGGGUAGCGAACAGGAUUAGAUACCCUGGUAGUNCACGCCGUAAACGAUGAGUGCUAGGUGUUAGGCCCUUUCCGGGGCUUAGUGCCGGAGCUAACGCAAUAAGCACUCCGCCUGGGGAGUACGACCGCAAGGUUGAAACUCAAAGGAAUUGACGGGGGCCCGCACAAGCGGUGGAGCAUGUGGUUUAAUUCGAAGCAACGCGAAGAACCUUACCAGGUCUUGACAUCCCGAUGCUAUUCUUAGAGAUAGGAAGUUACUUCGGUACAUCGGAGACAGGUGGUGCAUGGUUGUCGUCAGCUCGUGUCGUGAGAUGUUGGGUUAAGUCCCGCAACGAGCGCAACCCUUAUUGUUAGUUGCCAUCAUUAAGUUGGGCACUCUAGCGAGACUGCCGGUAAUAAACCGGAGGAAGGUGGGGAUGACGUCAAAUCAUCAUGCCCCUUAUGACCUGGGCUACACACGUGCUACAAUGGUCGGUACAACGAGUUGCGAGCCGGUGACGGCAAGCUAAUCUCUGAAAGCCGAUCUCAGUUCGGAUUGGAGGCUGCAACUCGCCUCCAUGAAGUCGGAAUCGCUAGUAAUCGCGGAUCAGCACGCCGCGGUGAAUACGUUCCCGGGCCUUGUACACACCGCCCGUCACACCACGAGAGUUUGUAACACCCGAAAUCGGUGAGGUAACCUUUUAGGGGCCA